AUACGGAGGGUCCAAGCGUUAUCCGGAAUCAUUGGGUUUAAAGGGUCCGCAGGCGGUCAAUUAAGUCAGAGGUGAAAGCCCAUCGCUCAACGAUGGAACUGCCUUUGAUACUGGUUGACUUGAGUUAUACGGAAGUAGAUAGAAUAAGUAGUGUAGCGGUGAAAUGCAUAGAGAUUACUUAGAAUACCGAUUGCGAAGGCAGUCUACUACGUAUAUACUGACGCUGAGGGACGAAAGCGUGGGGAGCGAACAGGAUUAGAAACCCCAGUAGUCC
rnacentral:rRNA from 1 species